AGCUUUGCGCAGUGGCAAUAUCAUAGCCAAUGAGGUUUAUCCAAGGCACGAUUGUUGCUAUUAGGUAAUAGAUUUUCUAAAUUUGC
rnacentral:snRNA from 1 species